GGGGAUGGUACCAGCGGGGCGCAUGUGUCGAGCAUGCACCUGUGGCAAGCAGCCUGUCAGAGGAUGUUAUUACACCUGCCAAGUGGUGAAUCCAGAAACAAAAGAGGCCCAGCUUCUAACUCUUCAGCUGUGUGCAAUGUUAGAGAAACCAUACCAGGAAAUAAUCCUGCCUAAAUGGGGCAGGCCUUACAGACAGGAUUGUAGACAGAUCCGUUGACUAUAGUCUGAAAUGGUGUUAAAAAUGCAGAUACCUGGGUCCCACCCCCCAAAUCUAAAAGGAAGACCAUUUUUAACAAGACCCCGAAUCGUUCUUAGAUUUGAGUGCCACUGAUUUCACCGGUGGAUUAGGAAGAUCUUGCUGUGAAGGCCUAGUUGCCUUAUGUCCACACCAGCCAGUAGGAUUAGGCUAGACUUCAUGAGAAGAAAAAUUCUCUACCAUUAGGCAAAGACACGCUAGAAACAGCAAUAUAAGACAGUGAACGAUUAGGUGCCAAAGUGAUUAGUUCAAACCCCAGGCACUGUGGGAGAUCACUAACAGCAAAGAGAAAUUCCUGUGGGAGGGGAGUAUUCCACAAUAUUUGUUGAGGCUUAUUCUCUACAGGAUAUCUGUUCUUUUUUUCUAAACUACAGACCUGGUUUUGAGAGUCCCUGGAGGUAAGAUUGGGGCCUACCAUACAUUUUAUACACAACUGUGGAGUUAGGCAGGCAGUCACUGAAGGGAACCCACAUUCUGGAGUUAAACCUGAGUUCAAAUUUGAGCUCUGCCUGUUGUGGCCUUGGGCAAAUGAGUUAACCUCUAUAUAAAAUAGAGGUGUUAAAAGUACACAUCUCUUGGGCUUGUGGGAAAAAAUGAGAGCGUGUAUGUAAAGCACAACACUGCUUACAACACAGUAAACUUCAAUAUACUUAAGACUAAAAAAACCAAAGGCCCAUUUCUGUCCACAGUGUCUCUGGACAGAAAGGACAAAUAUUUAAAAGUUAGAGAACAAACCAGUGUGUACUAAAUGACAAGCCAAGAGAAGACCAUUGGACUGAGGGACCAGGACAGGAAAGGGACGACCUAGUGAGGACCCAGAAAUAGGUUCAUUGUCCUCUGGAGAUAAAGAGCACAAAUCACGUUUUCAUAGAGUAGGGUGGGAGUGGAUAAUUAAAUUAAUCCCUCAAACCCAGGCCAAAUGGUCUUUGAGGAGUCCCUAAAAUUUGUUAGGUGAAGUGGUUUAAAUGCCAGAUCAAAAUUAGGCCUCAAAUUUCCCUCAAUGUCUUUCCCCUCCCAUCCAUUCAAAGGCAAAUCUGGCAAUAAUUUGUAAAAUAAUGAGUUAGGCUGCAAGGCACAGAAUGAAUGGCAACUUGGAUGGACUAAAGUUGGGAACAGCAGUUAGAAAACUACCUCUAGAUUCUAAUACAGGUUGGGAAGUGGCAUCACUAGGAAUGCCUGUAGAAAGGAGCCAAUGCAAGGGAGAUUGAAACCGAAUGUGGAGGCCAGGAGAGAUCUAAGGAGGGGAGCAAUGAAUUGAGACCUGAGGAUGGAAGUAUUUGCAGGGAGGAAUACUCAACAAGUAGCUAGAAAUAGACAAACUGAAAGAGUGAGCUACAUGGAGACAGGUAAAGGAGGAAGAUUAAGCUUUGGGGUAAGGGACCUAGUCUACUUGUUCACCAUGGUAUUUCUGGUGCCUGUCACCAUAACAUAUUAGUAUUUGUAGAAUGAAUAUAGAAGAAGUAGCCAAUGAAGAAGUAGUCAAAGCAGCAGGAGAAAAACCAGGGUAGUGCCCUUGAGAGGAGUCAAGAAGGAAAUUUUCAAUAAUGUUACAGAGAGAUUUAAUAGAUUUGAUUGAACAUUUACUUUGUACAAAAUACUUUGACCUAAAAUGAUGUUUUGGUAAAAUUGGAAGAUGUGUAGUAGCUAAUUAAAAGCAUGGUAUGUGAUAAAGAGAGGGAAAAGGAGUAGAGGAAGCCACAAAAUCAUUUGAGGCUAAAAUAGCCUUGAAUGCCAGAAUAAAGGGUUUGAGCUUUAUCCUGAAAAGUCGUGAGCCCCAAAUAGUCUUUAAGUGUACCCCUUCAGUAAAAAGUCUUUAGCAUAUACACUAUUACAUGUUUAUUUCUAAAUUACUAUAUGUAUAUUAGUCAUGCUUACUUAUAAACUUAAUGCAAGCAUAAUCCUAAAUAUUAUAUAGUUAGAAAACAAAAAUUUUAUAACAGUUCAGGUAAACAAAUUGAAAUCUAAUUUCUAAUCAUUUUUUGUGGGUUUUUUUUUUUUAAUUCCUUCCACUCAUUUGUAGAGACCACUUCAAGGUGAUACUGAGGAAGACACUUCCAAUGUCAUGGAUAUCCUUGGGAAGCAGAAUGUCAGAAAAGUGAUGGGAAGAAGGCAGAUUACACCAGGAGAGGAGGGCCUGGGAGUAAGGAAUUGGAGACAGGAGUAUAGAUCACUCAAAUGCUGAGGAUGCAAGAGAGAAAGAGAAAUAGUACAAUAACUUGAGUCAGGGAGGAUUGGGGAAAAGAUUUGGGGUUGGCGGGGGGAGUGGUUUGUUGUUUUUGAAAGGAGCUUCACUAAAGGCAGAUAAUAAGGAACCAAUAGGAAGCUGAAAAUAAAAGCUAGGUAAGAAAGGACUAUGGAGGGGCACUUGGCUGGCUUGGUCAGAGGAGUGUACAGCUCUUGAGCUCGGGGUCAUGAGUUCAAGCCCCACAUUGAGUGUAGAGAUUACUCAAAUAAAUAAAACUUAAAAAAAAAAAAAAAAAAAAGGACUAUGGAUAGAAGAGGAUCUUGGAGCAAUGAAUAUCAGGUGCCAGGCCAGUCUAUUAGAAUUUAAUCCACUUUGUCCCCUUUCCUAUCAGGACUUGCAUUUCAGCACUCUUCUCUUGUCUCUUUGGGGCAGUCUGAGCAUGUCCCAUCCUCUUCUGGAAUGAGGACUGGAAAUCAAUAAGCCCCCUCUGCAGUUGCUGUGUUUCUUGCUGCAGCCCUAUCCUACCACCAGCUGUUAGGCCACAAACACUGCCACAGUCGAGAAGACUGAACAGGUCAACAAGCACCUGUUGGGUCAUAGCCAUAGGAGUUGUCCCAUGUGUUUAGAAGACUGGUUUUCCCCAAUCCCCAGGCCCCUCUCUUGCCCCACUCAACAUACACACGUGUGCACUACCACUAUGUACGCCACCCCAGCCAGCAGUUUGGGCAAUGAAUCACCACUCAGGUUCACCCCCAGAGCAGCUACUUACUCUGUCACCUGGAGAGUAACAUUGUUGGCUAAGGGCUUGAGGUUUGUGAGUUGAACACACCUCACUCCUGCUUCUCAUGGCUACCCUUAGUAGUGAACCACGCACUGUCCAGCAUCGCUAGGGUUGUCACCUCCUGCCAAUGAGGCAGCACCUAGCCAGACAUAUAAAUAGGCAGUCACCACCAGAGAAGCCUUCCAUUGCCAAGUCCUCUGGCCACCUUGCCUGGCCUGGCCACUGGAGGGGCCUUCCUAAAAUUCCAAUCUGACCACAUCACUCCCCUACUUAAAGGCCAUCAAGUCCCUCCUCCACCCAUGGUCUACAAAAAAAAAAAAAAAAAAUCCAAACUCCUCAGCAUAGCUUAUAGAUCCUUCUGGAUCUGUUCCCCCCCAGCCUCACCAGUGCAAAGCCUGCCAGUCUCUUAUCUCUGUCUUCAUUCUCCCAUAGAGAAUGACCUGUCAUUCCCCAAAGUCACUCUGUUUGGGCAUCCCUGCACCUGGGAAAUAAUGGUUUCUCUAUAAUUCUAACCCUGGCUGUCCUCUUUGUUACCUGCCUGGGGUUCUGGGACACCUAACUGGGGCUCCUGCUCUUGAGCAUCAACAUUCUAAAAGGAAAAUUACACUCUGGUAAGGAUCAGGAGAGCUGAGUUCUAGUCUUGGCUUCGGCAUCAACUCCCUGGGUGAUCUUGGACAAGUUUUAUGGGUCUUUCUGGGUCUUAGUCUUCCAUCUGGGAAGAAUGAAUAAGAUAAUAUCCACAAUUCUCUGGCUGCCUUGGGAAAUAAUACUGCCUUUGUGGGCACCCAUCCCUGCCUUUGCCUCUUGCCACAGGGCUGACUUCUGACACACAGACCUUCUAUAAACACUCUAAAAGAGAAAAACAGAAGUUAAAAAAANGCGGCCGACGCCUGCUGCUGGCGCUGGCGGGCGCGCUGCUCGCCUGCCUGCUGGUGCUCACGGCGGACCCGCCCCCGCCCCCGGUGCCCGCCGAGCGCGGCCGGCGAGCGCUGCGCAGCCUGGCGGGCCCCGCGGGGGCGGCCCCGGGUCCCGGGCUGGAGGCGGCGGCGGCGGCGGCUCCCGCUGCGCUCGCCCGCGAGGUGCACAGUCUGUCCGAGUACUUCAGCCUGCUGACCCGCGCGCGCAGAGACGCGGGCCCGCCGCCCGGGGGCGCCCCCCGCCCCGCCGACGGCCACCCGCCGCCCCCAGCGGAGCCGCUGGCGCCCCACGACGUCUUCAUCGCGGUCAAGACCACCAGAAAGUUUCACCGCGCGCGCCUCGACCUGCUGCUGGAGACCUGGAUCUCGCGCCACAAGCAGAUGGUGAGCCCCCACGCCUGGGCGGGGUAGGGGUGCCGUCUUGCGCAGCUGGUGGCAGUAUCCGAAGGGCGCCAGGCUGCACUCUGUCCAGCCACCUGGAAUAUCUGGGGUGGUGACACCAACCCGUCCCUUUCCAGACCAGUCUCCUUGAUGGGGUCACUCUCCCCAUAGAGUUGUGGAAGUGUCAGAUGGGGACCCUACUCCAUCCAACUUCCAGAGUCUUGGAUGGUAUGCGUUGACCCUACACCAGCUGCCAGUGCUUGGGGUUUGGUGCCCUGUGAUGCUUCUUAUGCCCUUCUCCUCCCCAAACUUCGGAGCGCAUUAAUAAGGUGCUGUUGUCUCCACACCACCCCAAGGCAGAUUCUGAGUGGGGCAUCCACCCUGGGCUCAGACCCUUCCCUGGAGAGGACUACGCUUUCGUUAGUGAUGGGGUCAGGGUUAGAACCACCCCUGCCGCCCCGCAUAGGGCCAGGAGAGUCUUUGCUGUGGAAUGAAGACAAGUCUUUGCCUCUUGCCACAGGGCUGACUUCUGACACACAGACCUUCUAUAAACACUCUAAAAGAGAAAAACAGAAGUUAAAAAAAAAAAAAAAAAAAACUGGCUGCAACAAGCCCCAGCUUGGCAUUUUGGGUAACUAUUCAUGGGAAAUUGGUUAAAGAGGAAGGAGGAAGGAAGGAACUACCAGGAAGAUUUGCUUUGAAUCUCCCAGAAGGUGCUGUCACCUUUAGAUGUUACCGGGAAGAGGAGAGGACAGUAGAGGGGAAGGCAAAGGGCACAGACAAGAGAAGGCUAGUCCCCCAGGCAAAACCCAAACUCCCUUCUCCUCUUGUCCUCUGCUCUCCUGCCCUAAAUACAAGGGCUCUGUGAGGGGGCUCUGGCUCCCGAGUGCCCCCGGAACCCAAGUUCACUAAAGUAGGGAGACAGUGGCUUAGCUGUUCCCCUUCUCCCAGCAGGAUUAGCACUCGAGACAUCUGCCACCAGGCUAAGUACACCUUGGUGGGGAGCUAAGGCAACAGUACUUUAGCAACAGCAAACAUACUAACUACACCAUUCACUCCUGGGUGGUGGAAGACAUCAAAUUAGUUAUUCCCUGAGAAGUUCAACCACAGUGAGGGGACAC
rnacentral:lncRNA from 1 species